rnacentral:rRNA from 1 species
CAGGCCUAACACAUGCAAGUCGAGCGGUGAACCCUUCGGGGGGAUCAGCGGCGAACGGGUGAGUAACACGUGAGCAACCUGCCCCUGACUCUGGGAUAGCCUCGGGAAACCGGGAUUAAUACCGGAUAUGACACCUCCUCGCAUGGGGUGGUGUGGAAAGUUUUUCGGUCAGGGAUGGGCUCGCGGCCUAUCAGCUUGUUGGUGGGGUGAUGGCCUACCAAGGCGACGACGGGUAGCCGGCCUGAGAGGGUGACCGGCCACACUGGGACUGAGACACGGCCCAGACUCCUACGGGAGGCAGCAGUGGGGAAUAUUGCGCAAUGGGCGAAAGCCUGACGCAGCGACGCCGCGUGAGGGAUGAAGGCCUUCGGGUUGUAAACCUCUUUCAGCAGGGAAGAAGCGCAAGUGACGGUACCUGCAGAAGAAGCACCGGCUAACUACGUGCCAGCAGCCGCGGUAAU